AACGUAGGAGCAAGCGUUAUCCGGAUUUGACUGGGCGUAAAGCCGCGGGUCGGUGGUGACUUAAGGUCAUUGCGUGAAAGCUCUCGGCUUAAACCGGGAGAGGUCGUGUGAAACUGGGUCGCUGGAGGUUGGGAGAUGGGCAGGGCGGAAUUCCCGGGUGUAGCGGGUGAAAUGCGUAGAUAUCGGGAGGAACACCCGCGGUGUAGACGGCC
rnacentral:rRNA from 1 species